rnacentral:lncRNA from 1 species
UCGAUCCCGAGGAAGGCCUCGAGACAUGUCUUUAAAGUGUAGACUUCUUUCUACCUUGAUCGGUCUAUCAAUCUGACCACUUCGGUAUAGGAUUCUAAGCAGUAUGCCUUCUACCCUUUUCCGACCAUGGUCAGGUCUUCUCUUGGCAGCAAAAAUCAAUCUUCUUCCAACAUCAUCCUGGGCUCUCGAACGAGAACCC